rnacentral:lncRNA from 1 species
GGUUCUCAACCCUGGCUGCACAUUAGGAUCACCUGGGGAGCUUUUAAAAAAACUCUGAUGCCUGGGCUUCACCUCAGACCAAUUCAGUCACGGUCGAUGCGGGUGGAUGUCAGUGUGCUGUGAAACUCCCCAGGUGCUUCUCAUGUGCAGCCAGGGCUGAGCACUCUGCUGCUUUCCCCCCUCUCUGUCAGAAAAUGAGCAUGGGGGAAACAGAGCCGACUUGUGUGGACAGGGUGCACGGACCACUAAUAGAAUUUUGACGUUGUGGCUCCUUAAAUAGCCUCCCAAUUGAGAAGCUCACGCGGAGGCGAAGGCCGAGGUGCAUGCAGCUGCCGCCUGGACGUGCGUCCAGUCCAUGUUGACGUUUGAAGAGUCACAGAGUGUGGCUUGAUUGCCGGCUCUCACUCUCACCUGAAUUCGACCCAUUCUGCAUUGUGCCCGUGAUUGC